rnacentral:snRNA from 1 species
AGCUUUGCGCAGUGGCAGUAUCGUGGCCAGUGGGGUUUAUCUGAGGCGCGAUUAUUGCUAAUUGAAAAAGUAAU